rnacentral:rRNA from 1 species
UACAGAGGGGGCAAGCGUUAUUCGGAAUUAUUGGGCGUAAAGGGCGCGUAGGCGGCGAUUCAAGUGACGGGUGAAAUCCCUCGGCUUAACCGAGGAACUGCCUGUCAGACUGGAUUGCUUGAGUCCGGGAGAGGCGAGUGGAAUUCCCAGUGUAGCGGUGAAAUGCGUAGAUAUUGGGAGGAACACCAGUGGCGAAGGCGGCUCGCUGGACCGGAACUGACGCUGAGGCGCGAAAGCCAGGGGAGCAAACGGG